AGAAAGUAACCUAAUACUCGCUCACCUCCUACCACCUAGUGACAUCACGGGCUCCUCCAUUCCCUAGUCACUCCCUCACUCAACCCCACCUCAGCCCCUACAAACCCCACCCCAGUCUCUAUAAAAGACUCUCCCUGCUCCGGCCAUAUUGCUUUUUCUCUCCUUUGUUCAGAGACAGCCAGGCAGAUCUAUUCCCCUAAUAAAGGCUUGCUGGGGCCUGGUCUGGUCUUGGUCUUCAGCACUUUUACCUGACAUUUCUGGUGCCGUGACUCGGAUGGUAGAUGGUCCAUUAAUGGACGGUCCCCCCCAGGAUGGGGUUGAUUGACCUUUUGGCCAUCUCCAACGGACCUGUCUGCCGUUGCCAGGACCCUCGGGGGCUUUCUUCCUUUGCCAUUGCUGGCGCUACACAUCCACACCGGUCACCAAUGUCUGGGUGAGUUGGGAGUUCAGCCUACCUCUCCUCGGGUUCUCUGUCUCGUGUUCUCUCUCCCCCUCCGGGGACUUCUCAGAAAUCCAAGCGCUUGGUCAGAGAAACCCCCACGGCCUCUGGGCCCAGGACCGUGCCCCUGGGAGACGUCCCAUCGGCCCGCCUCCUCUCGUUCUCUCCCUUUGGGAGACUCACUCGGAGUUUGUCAAAGGAGACAAGGAUGCUUCUCCCCUUUGUCUUUCUCCCCAGGGGCUGCCUCCUCCUCACCCGCUCUAAUCAGGGGGCCCAACAAUCCAAACCCCGCCCCUCAACGCCUCUGGGCUGCCUUCUGGCACAACUCAAACCCCUCGGAUUGUUGGGACCAGACUUUAAGCCAAAAAGACUUGUUUUCUAUUGUAAUCAGGUUUGGCCUCAGUAUAAAUUAGAGAAUGGGUUUCCAGGGCCCAAAAAUGGGACUUUCAAUUUUAACUUACUGUGUGAUUUACACAACUUCUGUCAACGCAAUGGCAAAUGGUCAGAAAUCCCCUACACACAAACCUUUUCUACCUAUGCUCUUAACCCUCCCUCUGUCAAACCUGUUCUCCUUCUCAAGUACUCCUAGCCUCACCUCUCAUACCUCCCCCACUUUAUAACUCUGUUGAUAGGAAAAAGUUUUAAAGCUUAAUAGAUUAGCUAUUGAAGUAGUUGUGGAAGCAAACCAGGAACGAUUGAGGGCAUUCACCAGCCAGACAGUCAUGGAGUUCACCAUGGCAGGUUACCAGCCAGUACGAUAAAAGGAAGAGGUCCCCGCUUGCCACCGGCCCCAUGAGAUCCAGGUCUAGCCCCGAUCUUCGCCCCUGGUCAGCAGGAAGCAGCUCCAGAAGAAGAGACCUUCGCCCAACUAUCAUACAACAAAAGCCUGGAAUGAUAGGUCUCCCACCACCUCAGCAGCUGUUAUGUAUCGCAGCUGCCCUCUUCCUAUGGUGCCUUGCCCCCUCCCCUGUGUGACAUCACGCCAAGAUGGCUGCUCCCACCAAAGAACAAACCCUUCUUCCCAGCAUGCCCCUGUUCCCGCCUAGAAAGUAACCUAAUACUCGCUCACCUCCUACCAUCUAGUGACAUCACUGGCUCCUCCAUUCCCUAGUCACUGCCUCACUCAACCCCACCUCAGCCCCU
rnacentral:lncRNA from 1 species